rnacentral:lncRNA from 1 species
CGACAAUUUGAAAAACAGAAGUUUCAACUAAUGAUGCCAACCUCUCAUUUAAAGGUAAAGACAAUGUUUGCCAUCAAUUUGUUUUUAAAAAUCAUACAGUUUCUUCGUUUAUUUGUUUACCAACGUUCGGCCCCACGAGAAAUCGUUAAAAUGUAUACAUUAUCAACUGAUUUACCAUAGACAGUAUGUGUAAAGUGAUAUUCAAAAAGCGGUC